UACCAUCUCUCCUCAUAUCCUCCCAGAUUCUCGAUUGGAGCGGGGGACAGACGCCGCCACAGGCCACCGGGGACGCCUCUGCAUUGUCGUCGGCUGGACGAGGAAAACAGCAAGAUGCUGGCCUAUGCAUCGGACGUGGGCCGCUUCAGCUUUAGGGGAGAUUUGACUAUGGCGCAAGGUCCCCCACUUCCUUGUUGUGGCGCUGCAGCGUCAUGGGCCCUUCUGAAGGGAGAGGGAGGCACAUCGGAGGGUGGUAGCAGGUGCGUCUUGCUAAAGCAACCAGUGGUUGUCGUGGCCUGAAGCAGCAAGUAUUAUGGAGAUUGAUGGACUAGGUGCUUCCAGCCGCAGUCCAUCGUGCUCUCGGUUGCUGACCUUGAGGUCCGGCGACAACUGCCCGUCGCUUAGGGGAUGCUUCUAAGCUGCAAUGCUCCAUAUCCGAUGCAAUAUAUUUCUGCUUUAUUGAAGAGGACUAACUUGUGCUGGGAAAGAUUCCUGAAGGUGAUGUCAGAUCAUUGGUAAAUAACAAGGAAUCCUUGGAACCUGUCAUCCUGUAGUAUUUGUCUGCGAUAGACCUGGAUUGUAGGAUUGCAUGAGUUGGGGCUUGCGAUUGCCCAUUGUGGUGCACAGUACUGGCAGGGGUGGCUGUUUGUUUACUGCAGGGGGUGUUGAUCUGCUGCCCCAUUAUUUGAUUACAUGUUUGAUGCUCUCCAAAAAAUGCUACAAAGAAUCGAUAGGGAGGCAGAAGAGAGGACAUGCCGGGGAAUGAAGGAGAACAAACAGUGUCUCAGGCACACAAGCUAAAGGUUCACCAAGUUCAGGGAAAGAAAAGUUUCCCUAGACAUGUGGCGGCGGCUGUCAAGACAAGAGCGGCGCUGUGAGCGACAGCCCUCGAUCGUCUUCCUUGUGGAAUCAGGUACGCGUCGUCCAUCGUGGGUGUUGGCGGGUGGCCGGAGGCGGCUACAUCAGGCCAGUGUCCGUGAUCAAGACUGACACCGGGAAGGCUGCCGGUCUACAGUUGUGCACUCAAUUCAAAUGAUUAUUCUCCGUUCUUUGCCUCAGAACUACAUAUGAGAGGUACAAAGGGUUGGCCAAGAUACUCAAUUAAGCUAUUCGAUUUAAGGCCAGGGUGUAUCGCUCUUUUUCCUUGCCUUUCACAGGUCCUUUGCUGAUGUUGGUUGUGUCCUUGCUGCUUGGAGAGGGGGUGAGGGCAGAGGACUUUGAUGCCAGAAAUAGGCGAGUAUUUUCAGGUCCACUACACCAAAGAAAAGCUGAAAGAGUACAUCAAACCAGAUGAUGACACACUCAAGGUCAAGCUCGCAAACAGCAGUCUGCACACCAGUUGUCGUAUCAUGCUGGGAACAGACAAGAGAGCCACAAUAACCAGAAACUGGUCGGAGUUCCGCCACCGUGCAAACAUCCAUGAAGGAUUGUAUCUGCGCCUUUUGUUUCAAGGUUACCGCAGAGCACCGCCUGACUCUCAUCGUCCAUGUCCUCUAGACGGACCAUCUACAGCAACCCAUGCCUUUUGCAUGCAUAGCCUGUCGUCUUAAGAAGAUCUAAUUUGCCUCUAUGAUAAGAUGAACCUUACCUGUGGUUGCCGACGAUGCCAUACGUUGCUUUUGUACAACUGCCGGUGAUACUAUAACCUAUGUAACCCCAGUUAUUAUUACCCGGCAGCACAUCCAUCUAUUGAUCUUACGUAUGAUUUUCUAUCGUUGCUGCUUUCCUCUGCUUCAAUCAUCAGUUAUUUGACAACAACGCUGAACAAUCUGCACAAGUACUAAUGGAGCCUGGAUGAUGAUGUUGAAGGGAUUUCUGUUAUGAACAAUGAGAACAUUCAACCCCAGCCACUAUGAACAAUCGCAGCGCCGAUGGUCCAACAAGCAUAAAGCCUAUGAGAUGAAUCUCCCCCUUUCUACCUUACUUCCCAAUAGCAUUGUAAACAUUCUAUCAUAAGCUCCUAAUAUCAUAUUCUAUCAUGAAUGAUCCA